AACGAACGCUGGCGGGAGGAGGAACACAGGCAAGUCGAGCGGACCCUUCGGGGUUAGCGGCGGACGGGUGAGUAACGCGUGGGAAUAUGCCCUUCUCUACGGAAUAGUCCUGGGAAACUGGGGGUAAUACCGUAUACGCCCUUUGGGGGAAAGAUUUAUCGGGGAAGGAUUAGCCCGCGUUGGAUUAGGUAGUUGGUGGGGUAAUGGCCUACCAAGCCGACGAUCCAUAGCUGGUUUGAGAGGAUGAUCAGCCACACUGGGACUGAGACACGGCCCAGACUCCUACGGGAGGCAGCAGUGGGGAAUCUUAGACAAUGGGGGCAACCCUGAUCUAGCCAUGCCGCGUGAGUGAUGCAGGCCUUAGGGUUGUAAAGCUCUUUCAGCUGGGAAGAUAAUGACGGUACCAGCAGAAGAAGCCCCGGCUAACUCCGUG
rnacentral:rRNA from 1 species